rnacentral:rRNA from 1 species
CGGAUCAGAAUGCCGCGGUGAAUACGUUCCCGGGUCCUUGUACACACCGCCCGUCACACCAUGGGAGUCGGGAAUGCCCGAAGCCAGUGACCCAAGCGAGAGCAGGGGGCUGUCGAAGGCAGGCCGGAUAACUGGGGUGAAGUCGUAACAAGGUACC